rnacentral:ncRNA from 1 species
CAAACGGCUCUUUUCAGAGCCACCCACUUUGUUGAAAGAAAGUUCU